UUUAGGAUAAUGUAUGACAGUAAUUAAGGCCACAUCAAUAUUUCUUCAGGGCUCCCAUCUCUCCCCAACUGCAGUUGUAUUGAUUGGCUCACUGCUUUGGAAGAUAAUUUAUUAACCUCCAAUGAUCUACAUCUAAACUCGGAUAGAGCUCUCUGUGCUGUGGUGGAUGUGGUUCGGCUAACAACAUUUUCCAUUUAGAUAAUUAAUUAAAAGUAAAAUUAUCAAGGUUAGCUUUAUACAUUGCUGAAUAACAAAUGCAGAAAUCUAUUCAAAUGAGUUACAUCUAGGAACAAAUAUUAAAUUGCCCUGGAUGUUUUAAUAACAAAAGUAUAAAAUAUUCUCUGUUGGCAAACAAUGCGAGUCAGAAUAACAUUAAAGCAACCUGCCUUUUCUAACUGAAAAGACCCCCUGCACUAUACAUAGUUCCUGUAUACAAUACUUUUUUUUUUUUAAACUAAAGCUUUAUUAAAUGAAUUGCAAUAGCAAUGGCCGCCUUUGAAUAUAUAUACACAUUAUAUAGGUGCAUAUAUAUGUAUAUAUGAGAUACUAAUUUAUUUAACACAAUAGAGGCUGCUGCCAUAUGAUAAAGUUUACUGUACAUAAGCAAAAAAACCUUUUUAAUACUGUACAAUCACAUAAAGGUCAUAUGCACUGUUGCAGUGCAAGAGUAGUUUUAACUGUAGUCUUGACUGGCAUAUUAAUGGCUUUUUUGUAAUCCUACAAAAUUGCAUUCUCAUAUUAUGUGGCCUGAAUGGUCUUUAAAUUAUUCUAUAAACACU
rnacentral:lncRNA from 1 species